GCGAGAUACCUGAGGGGACUACGACAGCAAAUUCAGGAUGCUUUGAGGUUCCACACUCUAUGGACCGUCAAAAGGUGUACCACCAUGCUGUUGUUGCUGAGUAGUUGCGGUGCAGACCUAUAUCCAAAUCUGAUCCACCCCAACGAAGCAGUCAAGCGACGGAAAACCAGGGGGGUGUACGACCCAAUACUACUAACCCUCAUGUUCAUAUUGCAAAUACAAGAUCUUCAAAUCCAACCCCGAUUGAAUCAUCAAAUCUGCGGUGUUACAAUUGCGAUGAGAUUGGACACACGCGGAACAAUUGUAAAAAGCCCGUUGGACGAUCAGAAAAGCAGCUAUUAAUUGAAGAAGAACCAUCUGAGGACGAUCAAGAAACUAUCUAUGAUGAAGGAAACGAGGAUGAUUCCAUGCUAUAUGGAGAUAGAGACAAGGCUCUAGUAGUUCGAAAGAGCCUGCUUGCUCCAAAGAAGAAAAAAAAUUGGAGGUGGACAAAUAUUUUCCAUACCUAUUGUACCAUUGCAAAAAAGAUCUACAAAAUGAUCAUCGAUGGCGGUAGCUGCGAGAACGUCAUCUCCCAAGAAGCCAUCACAAAACUAAACCUAUCAACAAAAAAACAUCCUCGACCCUACAAGCUAUCAUGCUUCAGAAAAGGGAGCAAAGUCGUUGUCGAUAGUCACUACCUUGUAUCUUUUUUCAUCAGACAAAAAUACUUCGACAGCGUAUGAUGUGACGUCGUAGCCAUAGAUGCCUGUCAUCUACUCCUGGAGAGGCCGUGGCAAUAUGACCGUAAUACUACACAUGAUGGAUGCCGAAACACCUACACAUUCUAAAAGAAUAAUCAAAAGAUCACCUUAGUACCGAUGAAGGAAGAAGAUCUAUCCAAACCGAAAUCAGAGAUCAGCAUAAAUCUUCCGACAAAACAUGCCUAUCUAAAGGAGGCAAUGGAGGCCGACUACCUAUUAGCAGUCAUGGAAAAAGACGAGCUGACUGAGCGAGACACCCCACCUCUGGUACAUCCUAUCCUUCGAGAGUUCUCUGAUGUUUUUUCUAAAGAAUUGCCCACAGGACUACCCCCUGAACGAGAUAUUCAACAUCACAUUUUGUUUCAGGUUCGAGCUUACCGAAUAAACCAGCUUAUCGCAUGAGUCCUGCUGAACAGUUGCAGCAACAGGUACAAGAGUUGCUGGACAAAGGCUACAUCAGACCGAGCAUGAGUCCGUGCACAAUACCUGCCUUGCUGGAUCCAAAGGACGGAUCGUGGCGCAUGUGCAUAGACAGCAGAGCCAUCAAUUGAAUCACCAUCAAGUACCAAUUUCCAAUUCUGAGGCUAGACGACAUACUUGAUCAACUUGCUGGAGCCAAGAUAUUCAUCAAGAUUGACCUGAAAAGUGACUACCAUCAAUUGCGGAUUCGACUUGGAGACAAGUGGAAAACAACCUUCAAAAUGAGGGAGGACUUGUACGAAUGGUUGAUGAUGCCGUUCGGAUUUUCCAACACGUUGAGCACCUUCAUAAAGCUGAUAAACCACGUACUGCAGCCAUUUAUCAGUAAAUUUAUCAUGAUUUAUUUUGAUGAUAUCCUUAUCUACAGUCCUACUUUGGAAGCUCACCUGCAACACCUUAAAAAAGUUUUUAGUACCUUGCGAAGAGAUAUUAUUUGCUAACACCAAGAAGUGCAGCUUCAUGGUGAAUAGUCUAACAUUUUUGGGCUAUAUCGUCUCUUCUGAGGGACUAUGAGUAGAUCCAUCCAAGGUGCAAGCCAUCCAAAAUUAGCCAAAUCCAAGGAACAUCACUGAAGUAUGGAGUUUUCAUAGUUUGACAUCCUAUUGCAGAUUCAUCCGAAGAUUUAGCUCCAUCAUGUCUCCCAUGACAGACUGCAUGAAAGGGAGGCCUUUCCAAUGGACCCCUGAAGCACAGACUGCCUUCGAAACAAUCAAAGCAAAAAUUGCAUCUACAGAUAUUUUCUUUACCAGAUUUUUCCAAGAUCUUCGAGAUGGAAUGUGAAGCCUCUUCUACAGGCUUUGGUGUUCUUAACCAAAAGAGGCGACCUAUUUGCUUCCACAGUGAAAAGUUAUUAGGAUCCAAGCUGAAUUAUUCAACUUACGAUGUGAAAUUCUAGGCGGUGAUCAGCAUGCUACAACGGUGGCAUCAUUACCUGGUCCAGAGGGAAUUCAUCUUAUACAUCGAUCAUGAAGCCUUGAAGUACAUCAAUGGUCAAGAGAAGCUAAGUUGCAAGCACGUCAAGUGGAUGAAUUAUUUGCAGGAGUUUCACUUUGUUCUGAAGCAUAAAUUCGGUGCUCAAAAUCGAGUGGCGGAUGCGAUAAGCAGAACAGCCAAGCUGCUGGGAGUUCUUUGCAUGGAGGUGAUCAGGUUUGAUAUCCUGAAGGACCUCUACGCCAGUGAUCCAGACUUUGACCGAAUUUUACAGGAGGUACAUUCUCAUGAUCGAGUUGAUUUCCAAUUACAUGAUGGUUUUUGUUUCCAGAUGUGCCGCUCUGUAUUUCCGAUUGUUCUUUGCAGGAAAAGAUUAUAUAAGAGCUUCAUAAUGAAGGCCACCUUGGUAGAGACAAGACCCUCACGCUGAUCCAUAGCAAAUAUUAUGGGCCAAAAUUAAAGCGUGACGUGAUUAGAUUUGUGGAACGUUGUCGGAUUUGCCAAGUAUCAAAAGGGACGGCAACGAAUGCUGGAUUAUACACUCCUUUACCUGUUCCAAAUCAUCCAUGGGAGGAGAUCAGUAUGGACUUCGUAUUAGAACUACCUGUGACCCAGAGGCGGUGUGAUUCCAUGUUAGUUGUAGUAGAUCGAUUUUUGAAGAUGGCUCACUUCAUCACCUGUCGCAAGACCAUGGAUGCCUCAAAUGUUGCUCAGCCAUUUUUCAAGAAAAUUGUGCAUCUCCAUGGAGUGCCUAAAUCCAUUACAUCAAACCGAGAAAAAAUUUAUAAGCCACUUCUGGAGGAGCCAGUGGAAAAGAUUGGGCACAACCUUACAGUUUAGUUUAGCCUAUCAUCCUCAGACAGAUGGUUAGAUCGAGUCGUCAAUAGGAGUUUGAAAAAUUUAUUAAGAAGUCUUGCUGGUAAGCGCCCGAAGUAGUGGGACUUGAUCUUGGCGCAGACUGAGUUUGCCUUCAACCAUUCAGUGAACCGGACCACAGACUAUAGCCUAUUUCAGAUCGUCUAUGAAUCGAACCCAAACAGUGUUUUAGACUUAACUCCCAUCCCUUCCAGUGGGCGAUCCAGUGCGAAAGCUGAAAAUUGAGCUGAAGAAGUUCAAGCUAUCCAUCAGUCAGUCAAACAACAGAUUGAAUCUAGCAAUACCAAAUACAAGGAGGCCACGGACAAACAUCGAAAGAAGAUAACUUUUGAGGCCGACGACUAUAUGUGAGCUGUUCUGAUCAAGGACCAAAAUCUAGUGAGAGAAUACAACAAGUUGAGCCAACGCAAGAUUGAUCCCCUCGAGAUAAUCAAAAAGAUCAAUGACAAUGCCUAUCAGUUGAAGCUACCCAAGCCAUCUUCGAAUAUCCAACGUAUUCAACGUGAAACAUCUAAUUCUUUAUACAGGUGAUUCAUCAGAUGAGGAAGCUUCAAACUCGAGGACAAGUUCUUUUUAGCCUGGAGAGGAUGACGCAUACAUUUUGACUAAUUGGUAUCUGUAUUCGAGGGACAGGAUCCGAAAGGAUCGAAAAAUUUAGUUGACUGCAUCCUGAUUCAGCCGAUUCGACACUGUCGAGUUAGAACGACCAUAACUUUCUCAUCCAAUGUCAGAAUUGUUAUUAUGACUCCAUUUCGAAAAGCUUUUUUCAAGCUUUACAAGACUGGCGCUUUGCUGCCACUGCAAAUUUCGAAGCCUAAUUCAAUCAUCUAACAGGUCAACCGGAGUGCGCAAGAGUCCUAGUCCGACAUAGGAGUUUAGUUUUGAUUUAUUCUUUGUUUUGUUUCGAAUUUCUUUUUUUGGUUGAAUCAAAAUUUUUAGUCCAUAAAUAAGGCCCCCUAACCAACAUUGUAAUCAGUUUAUUUGAAUUAUUAAAUUAAAAUUCCAAAAAAGAGAGUUUCCUCUUCCUUUUGUUGUUUUUCUUUGUUUCGUGCGUCUUUUUCUCCCUUCCAUCAAAACGUAGCCCUAGGCUGCAUCAGUAUACCAUUGCAAGAAUAAUAUCAUGCUCUACAAUAUAAUAAUUAAUAUUUUUUUAUUACUAGUAAAUCUGCAAAUGAAAGCCACAUUACAGAAAAAAAGGCUACUUACUAUAUGGCGUAUCAUUUAUUUUGUUAUAUUAACCAUUAAUAAAUUAGAUCAAAUUAUCGAAGCUAAAUGUGUCUACAAAGAAACACAUGCAUAAACCCCCUAAAGUAGAAUAGGUAUGACUGUUAUCUUUAACUAAGCGAGAUAAAACAUAUAUAUGCCCCAAAAAACUUUUCUAACUGAAAAAGAUAUAUGUUGAAAAUACAAAAAAAAAAGGUACAAGAAUAGUGAAAAUUGAAAUAAGACAGAACAAGGAAGACAAAUGAAGCACACAAAAAGCAGAUAAGAUGUAUAAAACUCAAAAAAAGAAAAUAUAAUAUAAAAAAAGGUAAAAAGUGAAACCCAAAACAAAUACAGAUAUGCAAAGAAAGAAAAAGAAAGCAGAACAUAAGUCAUAAUUUAGUUAACAAGAAAAGGAAAAUAAAGAACAGAAUUUGCAACAAAAAAAAAAAACAACUGCAUUGUAGAAGAACAAAGACAAAGAUUACCAAAUAGAAGACAUUUAAAAAAUAUGUAUAGAACUGAUUUUGUGAAAUAUGAAAAGAGUCAAUAAUAAACAACAUAUGUAAAUUAGAAAAAAUGGAACAUAGGAAUACAAAACAGGACAUACAAGGAAAGAACACAUGAUUAUUAGUUUAUAAAAAAGAAGAUACAAAGGUGAAAAAAGAAAAAGAAAAAAAAAGGAAAACUGAACAUAUGAAGAUGAAAAAUAAAAAACAUAAAGAAAAUAUGUAAAUGAAUAUUCAAACAGAUACAUGAAUACAAAUAAAUAAAAGCAGACAAAUUAACAAACAAAAAUUGAGAAAGUGAACUAAAAAAACAUAAAUAUGAAUAUGAAUAGCAAAAUGAACACUUACAUAAUAAAAACAAAUAGAUUGAAAAAAAUGAUACACAAAAAUAAAAUAAAAUGAAAUUCUAAACAGACAUGCAAACCUGGAUAUAUAAAAACACACCACCAAACCACCAACAGGAUAACAAAAAAUCAAAAUAAAGUAAAAAAAUAUUGAACAUAUGGAAACGGAUAAGAAAACAGAUAAUAAAAAUGAAAGACAAUAGACUAAAAAAGAAAAUUUAAUAUGACAAAGCCAAUGUAAAGAUGGAAUGUAGACAGAAAACAUAAAAUAGAUAUGAAAAUAUAUAACUGAAUUUGAACGAAAUAAAAUAAAUUAAAACUUCAAACAAAUAUACAACAUAUAAAAUCAUAUUAUAGAAUGCAUAAUGAUGCUAAUAAAAAUAAAAAUAAAAUUAAAAACAUAGAGACCAAAAUUGAAUUGUGGAAGCAGUUAUAAAGAUGGAAAUUAAAUAAUAGUCAAAACAGAAUAGAAAGAAAAUAUAAAACUGAAAUGACAAAAAAAAAAAGAAUAAUCUGGAAGUCCAGACAAACAUACAAAACCGAUAUACAAAAAAAAAUUACAAAACAGAUGCAAAUGAAUUAACAUAAACUAAAAAUAUAUAUUAUCCAAUCAAAAAUAUCAAGAACUUAAUAUAAAUAUAUGAAAAAGGACUAAAUAAGAAAAUAGAACAUUGAACUUACAAAACAGAUAGUUAAUAAAAAGAAUGACAGAAAAUAAAAUAUCAAUCUGAAAAGAUAAAUAGACAAAAAUUCCCAGCAAAUACAAUAAAAUAUCAGAAAAAAAAUAUUAAAAAUGAAUCAAACAAAACCUAGGAAUGAAAAAGUAAAAAAUGAGAAUGGAAUUAGAUAACUGAAAGAGAUAAAAUAAACAUAAAAAUGCCAAACUAUCUUCCACAGGAAAAAUGAAUAGAAAAUAAAAAUAAUAUAGUAUGCCAAUGAAAAAUAUACUAUUUUUAACAGUAAAAUAAAAUGAAACUCCAAACAUAUAUCUAAAACCAUAGUACAAUUACAUAUUAAAAACAAAAUAAAAUAAACUCAAAAUUAAAUAACAAACAAACUGAUGACAAACAGUUAACAAUUUUUUUUAAAAAAAAUCAGGAAAAAAAAAAAGAAAAGUGAAUUUGCAGAAGUGAAUUUACAAAGGAACAACACAAACCAACAAAAUAAAUGAUAAGAAGAAGAAAUCAUUAGACAACAUAUUCAGGGGAAAAACAGAGCUCAAGACAUAAAUCAAGACAAAACAAAAAUAGAAAUGGUAAUCAAGCAUCACAAAAUGUAUUAAACAAUAUAAAUGGGAGAUCUUGAUGCUAAUCAGUCAAGUAGGGCGGUAGAAGAGUGCCUAUUCAAAAGAUCCUGAUUAGCAUUUUCUAGACGUGCAGAGAGCUAUAGCUAUUGAUCAAAUAACCCAAUGUAUUACUCCUCACACGAAUAUGUGCAUUUCAUGAGCUGAGUAACAUGUCAUAAAUUAUGAGAUCACAAUAACAUACUCCACAACCAUGUCAUUUCUUUUUAAUCAAUCACAGGGAUCACAAACUGAGUUCAAGUAAAAACUAACCUUUCUGGAAUAGCUUUUAAGAAAGAAUCUCCUUACUAAAAGCUAUUUUUUAAUAUAUAUCUAUAGAUAGGUAGGUAGGUAGAUAUUUCCUUUCUGAACUUAUAAAAUCUUUCUCCUUGUCAACAUUUAAAAAACAUUGUGCACUAGACAUCCUCCAUCAAAAUAAUAAACAUCAAGACAGCAGGUAUAAUGAUGUAAAAGCAAAUAGAUACCCAUGGGUACCACAAGUAUGAUGAUAUAACCUUAAAAUAAAUCAAUAUAUAAGAUAUUAGAAGCACGCUUACAACAUGCAACAAAGAUAUGCAUAGAUUCUGCAACAUCAAGAACUGCUAGAGCAAAUGAAAAGACAGUUUCACAUCCUUCAGUUUCAUUAAAUAAAACUGUUACUAAUUCAAGAGCAAGGCAAUGAGAGAUUCCUAUAGCAGCAAAUCAUAAAUAUUCUCUACUAAAGCCCCUAAUUUGCCAUGUUCAGUGAGAUAUGCAUAUCAAAUACAAGCACGAAAAAAUCAUAGAUAAAUCAAAUAAUAUCUAUUCAAAUACAGACUCAAUAGAACCAAUAAAAGAACACCACUCAUCCACAGUCAUGUAAUUUGACAAAAUCACAUUCAAAGUUUUGAACUAUCCUCAAAGACUUUAUGUGUACAUCAGACAAAGAAAAAGACAAAAGAAACCGCAAUAAAAAACUUUAUUCACACACAGGCCUGUGGAGGGAUUGCAGCAUAACUAGACAACGAUAAUUAUAAGGAGACAGCCAUUUGAACGUGAAUUAUGAAGUAACAGUAACAAAUAAUAACUUCACGUCCAUAACAUUUCAAACAACUCGAUCAUUGCAGAACAACACGGCAAAUAAAUAACAUGAUCCAAAAACACAUUUUUGAACUCCAAAUCCAACCCAAGCUGAAAUAACAAAAAGAAGUCAUGUUCAAAACUCACCCAGUCAUCAAUGAAUAGGGAAGAAAAGAUGAUCAAAAUCCAGAAGUCUUAAAAGACAUAAACAUCCUUUCAAGAACAUCCAAACAAAUAAUCCAACCGGCAGAUCAAUGAAGAAAGUAAUCCCACAUUAAACCCCAAAAGAAUAUCUGAAAGAGACUACAUAUCUUUGCAACUCUAACCCUUGCAAAAGGGUUCACUACCGAUAGGGAAGUCAUAGGAAUUCGAUCUCUCUAAAAAUACAGUCACCAUUUGACAUGUAAAAUCAAAAUAAAGCAAAUAAAUGUUAUAAAAUCCUAUGAAUUGUUAUCCCUGUCGACUUUAGAUAUUAUUGCCAUGGGGGCGGGAAUCUAAAAUCACGGUCUCAAAAGACAUAAAUCACCAAAAACUCGAGGGAUUUAAACAAACCAAAUAACCCAAAAACCAGAGACUAUAGAUAAGAACCAACUGAGAACAAAUAAGAAAUCAAGAACCAUCUCUAGAAUCCAAAGAACCGUGGAACCAAAGUAUAAAUCAAGAACCACCAGCAGAAUCCAAGGAAAAGACAAGAAACUAAGAAACAAGUAAUCAAGUAACCAGCAACCAUAACAAGAAUACAUACAAAAAUCAAAAUUCUUCUCGUCUAUUGGCCCUACAUACAGGAGUGGAAUACUUCUUUCUAAACAAUAAAAGCCUAGGUCGUGCUUGAAGUUUCUGGAGCAAUCAAGAACCGUCUCCAGAGUCGAAAUAACAACAAAACACAACCAGAGAUCAAGAAGCGUGACCAAGAAUCAAAACUUAAAAAAAAAAAAGCAAGGAAACAAGAAAGAAACUAAUCACAUCAAGAACCCACAGAAAAGGCUAGGAAAAGGGGAAUGGAGUGCUUGCCUCCUGCCGUCGGCCUCGUAUUCUGGCGGUGACAGAGGUCGAUAGCAGAUUGCUCGCCCCUUGCCGUCGUUCUUGUCCUCUGGCGGUGGCGGAUAUCGAUAGAAGAUGGUUUGCCCUUACCGUCGUCCUCGUCUUCCGGCAGUGGGGGAGAAUGAUAGCAGAUCGCUGGCCCCUUUCCGUCGUUCUUGUCUUCUGGAGGCGGUGGAGGACGAUAGCAGAUGGCAUGCCCCUUGCUGUCGUCCUCGUCUUCCGGCAGGCAGGGACGCGAAGAAAAGGGCCAACGCCAGGCUCAUCCCCGCUCGCUCGAUUGCCGGAUUCUGAUUGAUCGUCGGGAGAGAAACGGGCCGAGAGUGGGAGAGAGGACGAAAAACAGGCGAAGGGGCGUACGCUGCAAGUAGGUGUACCGGCGUGACGCUAUAAAGGCGGUUACACUGGAUUUCGAUUUUUCCUGGGACUUAAAUUUUGAAAUUCAUUUAUAUACACUGCAAAUAGGUGUACAUGCGAUAUCUCCGUAUCCCGAUAUCAAGAUUCUUUUUUUUGUUAGUAAUAUCAAGAUUUAUUUACGGUCCAUAACUUGUUGUAAUGGAAACGUCAGCAUGCCUGCCAAACACCAACCGAACUGCCUAAACACUCCUUACAAUCCAAUCUAACCUAAUAUAUCUAAUCUAAUUUAAUAUAUAUAUUAUAAAAUAAAAAUUUAAAAAAAAUAAUAUUUAAAAUUAUUCAUGUCAGCAAUUUUUUAUAUGCGAUGUAUCUUUCUACCUAACAAUCCUUCGAAUCUUAAUUUCUAACCUUAAAUUUAUAAAAUAUUAUAUUAAAUUAUAUUUAUAUAAAUUAUAUUAUAUUAUUAAUAUAUAAUAUUUUUAUAUUUUUAUAACUAAAAUUUAUUUGUAUAGAUAUUUAAAAAUAUAAAAUGAUAUUAAAAAUUUGAAUGAAUAUUAUUUUAUUAUUUAAAUAAAAAUUAAAAAAAAUUAACAUUUAAAAUUAUUUACAUAAGUAAUUUUUUUAUACCAUAUGUCCUCUUACCUAACAAUUCUUCAAACCUUAAAUUCAAACCUUAGAUUAAUAAAAAACUACAUUAAAUUAAAUCAUAUUUAUAUUAAUUAAAUUAUAUUAUUAAUAAAUAAUAUUAUUACAUUCUUACAAUUAAAAUUUAUUUAUAUACAUAACUAAAAAUAUAAAAUAAUAUUAAAAAUUUAAAUAAAUAUUAUUUUAUUAUUUAUAUAUAAUUUUUUUUCAAUAUGACCGUAUCUAGAAUCUAUGCACAAUGCAUGGGUUCAAAGUUAGUUAAAAUAAUUCAAGAUAACUUCCCUGACAUAACUCUUCCACUCAGUAAUCAUCAAAUUUAUAACAAUCAUAAAAAGAUAUCUGUGCUAAAAAUCUUUUUGGCUGGAUUGAUUCAUAAAGAAUAACCUAUUUAUGUUACAUUAAAAUAUAGUCAAAAGGCAAAUUAAUGCCAAAAACUUUUAUGCACCUUGAUGUCUCUAAUUCUAAAUUGAUUUGUAAUAUAUUUAAAAUUUAUAAUCCUAUUUCCAACGGUUUGAACUCUGAAUCUUCACAAGCUAAUAGGAACAUUUAAAGUUUGGACAUUGAUGGGUUGACAUCAAAUACAAUGGAAGAUUUCAAAUAUAAAGAACAUGACAAAACUCUGGUGGAAGCAUUUGCACCAGUGAUACGAUUUUUUUAAACAAAAAUUACAGAAGCCAUAUUUUUUAAAAUAAUAAUCUAUUUGCAACAAAUAUUUUGUAAUAUUGAUAUUGUGUUUGUCGUAUCUUUGUUUUGUAUAAGCUUCUUUGCUUAUUAUCGUUUUGAUAAGGUAUUUUUCCCCACUGAUCUCAUCUUCUAAUAUUUUCUUUUUAUUUCUCUUUCUAUAUGAAGAGAAAUGAGAAAAAGAGCAAGCGGGACACCAGGAAAACAAAUGCAAUAAGGCAAAAAAUGUUUUGCAAGAUUUCUUACAAUAGUAAAUACAUGGAAGGAGCUAUCUGCUAGCGUCGAUCGAACCCUGUUUAACAGUUAAUAAAUUUAUAUGGAGAGAGAAAAGGUGUUUUCUUUUACCAUGACAUUUUUGCAUAGGCUCCCUUGACUAACAUGGUCCUAUGUACGUUUUUGUAUCUACUUGAUUAGAAGCUCAAUUUAAAAGACAGCAAUCAAUGAACCAAAAAAUGGUCGCAUGAGUGCAUUGAGGUUUGAAGAAAAACUAUUUCGAUCGAAUAGGGAGCAGGAACGUCCGUUGAUGGGAAAAAAAAAAAUCAUAUUUAGUUGAGAAUGAUUUGGCUUAAGAAGAAUCGGAAGCCAAAUAAUAGAUCAAAAAUUUUAAUUUUAAUCAACAUAAAUUAAAAAUUAAAAUUCGAUCUACUAAAAGUGUAAAUGGGUCGAAUCAGAUCGAAUCGAAUCAUGAGUGAUCUCGAUCCAAUUUGAUUGAUAAAAUUUUGAUAUUGAAUUCAAAUCCAACUCAAUAAAAAUUGGAUCGAAUCAAAUCAUAUCCAUAAUCAAAUUUCUUGACCCAAUAGAUUAUUCGAAUUGGAUCGAGUCCGUGUAUAAUCCGGUUCUAAUUCAUAAAAUACGGAUCUGGAUUGAAUUUGAGUCGGAUUGUGGGUCUAAUUAACCGACAAACAUCCACUAUAGCUAUUCAACCAAUUCUCAUGAGUGAAAUUGAAGUUGAUCUCACAAAUUUACAAUCCAAUGACACUCAUAGCAUAAUAAUUUUUUUGAGUGGUCAUCAAUAAAUGAUAAUUAUAUCCUAGAAAACUGUCAAGAUAUACCUGAUGUACAUAUGAAAGUUGGUCGUGGGAUACAACUGAAAGUGAAAUAUCUAUUUUUCAGUAAUCCUCUAAAUUUCUAGAGUUAGAAAAGUUGUGUUGGUUUGUUGCGAAGGGUUUUUUAUGAAACUAGAAAAAAAAAAGAUAAUAUUUGUUGGGUACUCCAUUAACUUGAACCAAUGAAUGCCACUUAAUUGUUGACGUGAAAAGAAAAGAAGAUAAUAUCGUGUAGGUAGGUAACCUGUUACAAUUUAUACGUAGCCCAUAUAGUAUGUAAUAAAUUUGGAUCAUAUAGUGGGUUCGGGUUAAAUCGGAUCAUCGAGAGUAUAAGAUCUAUAUAAAUCAAAAAAUCUCAGUAAGUUAAAUUGGAUCGGAUCAAAAUAUAGUAAAUUUAUGUCCGGUUCGAAAAAUAUAAUAAAUUUAAUUUUAAAAUUCAAUCUAAAUCCAUGAAUUUUUUUAAAUGAUUUGGGUUAGAUCUUCAAAGCUCAGGACAAAUCAGACCGCAGAUCAAUUUUACCCAUUUGCGGCCUUACAGUCCGCCAUUAGAUCAGACGCUAAAUUCCCCUCAAUUGUUUACAGCUCCUCGCAAACCACCACCACUUUCCGUAUAAAUAAUUUUGCAGACACAAACUACGUCGAACUUUCUAACUAAACCAUUUUUUACCAAAAGAAAAAAAUAUUAAUUAAUUACAGGCCACUGGCUAAGAAAUUUCAUAUAGACUGUAGAUGAUUUGCAACCUCCGUAUGUACUGUGUCGAAGUAAAAACUACAUUUGUCGUUUUCAAGUGGGCCUUUCAACAUUUUCAUCUUUGUCGCUUAUAACAUUUCAUACAAAGGCUUCUACCCAAAAAAGAAAUUACAUACGGAGACUACUAAUGCCUUACAUUUCAUCCACAUCGGUGGCAAUGGUGAGGGACAAAGGCCAACAAUAUUAAAACGAAACAGACAUGAUAUCGAUUUACCAUAUUCUUUAGUCCCCAACCAUAUUACCAUAUUCGGGGAUGCGCAGUUUCCAAACUGAUAUUGUUAUAUUUUAGUUCAAUUUAUAAUGUUUUUAAUAAUUUUAGCAUAUGGCUACCAAAGGUUUUCACAAAUUGGCUAUCAAGUGAUGGUUUUGUCUAGUUUAGCACGAUCCAAUACCAUGAUCUAUUCAGCAUUAUCUAUCGUGAUAACUACAGUUGAAUGAAUAAUUAUUUUUAAAUAAUAUUUUUUAUAAAUCUAAUUUAUAAGAGCUUUAGCCGAUAGCUGCAUACAAGAUAUAAGCAAUUGCUAGCCUACUUCAUUUAGUUUUUUUUUUUUUUCUUUAAUUUUUUUUUUAAAUGCAGAAGGAAGAAGUGAGUCGCUUCCCCCAAUACAUUUAUUGAUAGAAGCGUUAAAAAGAGAUGUACAUUGAUAGAUUGUACUCUAGACAACGCUUCUACAACUACCACAUGUUCGCCCUCUCUUAAAGACCAUAUGGAGAGUACGAAUGACAACCAUCCUAUUAAUCUAUUUCAACUAUAUUUUUUCGAACUUCUAUAAAAUUUUUGUAUGUAUAUCCUUUUAAACAUUCAAAUUUAUAUGAAUAUUUUUUUAAAAUUAAUAUUUACAUAUAUAUCCUUAUAAAAUAUUUGAUUUAUAUGUAUAUUCUUCUUUUUUUUAUUUGUUUUAUAUAUACCCACAUCAUCUAAUGCCGUUAAAAAAUUAACAAUUUAAAAUUUAAAUAACUGAAAUACUCUUAUGGGUAGAUAUGCAAAAAAAAAAUUAUAAGAGUAUAUAUGUAAUUAGCAAUUUACAAGGGUAUAUAAAUAAAUAUUAAUUUUGAAAGGAUAUUCAUGUAAAUUUUGACAUUUAGGAGAGUAUAUAGGCAAAAACUUUUAAUUUAUUUUUUUCUAUUAUAUGUUAUUUUAAUGAGUUGGAAAGAAUUUAAACACGUUAAUUAAUGUCAUAGUAAGAGUGAUUCAAAUACAUUAAUUUUUAUCUAUUGCUUCUUUGUUGGUGUUUAUAGUAGGGACAGUUCACUUGUUUAAAGAUUUUAUUCAUCUAUUAUCAUUAUUCUCAAAAGCAAUAGCUGAGAUAUCAAUCCUUAAUAUAGCUGGACACUCAAUUUCAUUCUUGUCUUUGGUUCUUCUUUUGGUCGUCCACUCGAACCUCCUCUAUUGGAGCUACUUCACCUCUACUUUGGUCUUGGCUACCUAGUAUUGAUUGAGAAAAUUGUAUAUCAUUAGCUUCUUUUGUGACAAAUAAGAAGUACUCCAUCAAAUCUUUAUAUUUUUCAAAUAAACUCAUUAGUUUAUGAUAUGUAUCUAGACUUAUAUAAGACUUAGAUGAUAAAUGUCUAACGACAGACCAAAUCUUUAUGGUCUCUUUAAGCUUCAAAUUGAAUAUGUACACUAUAUCAUCAUAUAGAUCCAUAUAAGAAUAGUGAUCAACAUCAACUAACCAAUUUUUUUGUUUCCCAAAAUAAUAUUUUAUUCUUGUAGAAUUCUUAAUCUUCUUAAAAUAACCUCCAAAUUUCAUCUUCAAUUUGAAAAGCGAUUGCUCCAUUUUAAUAAGCCUAGACAUGGAAUAAGCAACUAUUCAUGAUAAAUCAUAUACGAGAUCAAAAUUAAUAUGAUAUAAAAAUAAAAAUAAAAAUCAUAUCCAACAAAGAAAUAAUAGAUAAAAAUUAAUGUACUUGAAUCACCCUUACUAUGACAUUAAUUAAUGUGUUUAAAUUCUUUCCAUCUCAUUAAAAUAACAUACAAUAGAAAAAAAUCAAAUUAAAAGUUUUUGCCUGUAUAUCCUCCUAAACGUCAAAAUUUGCAUGAAUAUCCUUUCAAAAUUAAUAUUUAUUUGUAUACUCUCAUAAAUUGCUAAUUGCAUAUAUAUUCUUUUUUUUUUUUUGCAUAAAUAUCCAUAAGGGUAUUGCAGUCAUUUAAAUUUUAAACCGUUAAUUUUUUUAACCGCAUUAGAUGACAUGGGUAUAUAUAUAUAAAAUAAAGAAAAAGAAGAGUAUACAUGCAAAUCAAGUAUUUUAUAAGGAUAUACAUGCAAAUAUCAAUUUUGAAAAGGUAUCCACGCAAAUUUGAAUGUUUAGAAGGAUAUACAUGCAAAAAUUCUAACUCCUAUUCAAGAAUCACACAUGCAAAUUGUACAUUUAGCUAUCUAAUAUAUAUUAUAAAAAUAAAAAAUAAGAUAAAAUUUAUAAAUCAUUAGGAUUAUCCACAUAAGCAACCAUUUUUUAUCUGUAAAGAAAUAUUGAAAUAUUACCGACUCAACUUCUCAAAUGAGUUUUGUUAUACUAUCAGGACAGAUCACUCAUUCACAUUAAAUUAUGUUAUUAAUGCAUAAUAUUAUUAUAUUUUUAUAAUUGAAAUAUAUGUAUAUAGAUAGUUGAAAAUAUGAAGUGAUUUUAAAAAUUUGAAUGAAUAUUAUUUUAUUAUUUAAAUAUAAUUUUUUUUAAUCUAAUUAAAUCUGAAAAAAAAAUUUCAUACAUAUGACCCCACGCAAAUCUUCAAUUAGUUUUGUAUAUAAAUAAUAAUAUUUUAUCUUUUCACUGUGCUAUUUUUGGUAAUUCUAUUUACAUGGAUUUCAAUGUAAAGAAAUAUAUCAUAUCCGAAGAAUCAUUAUCAGGAUAGAGUAAGCAAUUAUGACUAUUAUGCAGCACUAUUACGAUUCAUGAUAAUGCAUGUAGAGUUGGAGCCAUAUUAUCUGAUUUUUAUUUUUUUAAUUCAAAACAAUAUUUGGAUAUCAUGGCACUAUAUAAUAGAGGUGCUCAAAACUAAUAUAUAUAAUCUCUCUGUGCUUCAAUUUUUCUUCUUAGAGUGCACAAAUAUUAAGCACCCAAAGACACUAUUUGACAAUACGAUAAUUACAACAAACCUAUCACCAUUUUUGAUAACUAUAUAAAGUAAAUUGAAUUUGAAUAAUGUUUUUUAUAAAUUUUCUUUCUAUAUCUAAUCAGCGAAUUACAUCUACAAGAGUUGGGCAUCGAACCAGCAACAUACAUUGAUGGAUGGACAACGAUCACAUGAUACGUCGGGUUCAUAAUGAAAGGCUGAAGCUGUUAUCACGUUCGGAUGUCCGUUACACCAAAACCAUGCUUCGAAGCCCAUUCUGGUCCCAUCCGGGUCGUACCGGAUCCGCACUCAAUGCGGUCCAAUUUGAUAUUGAGAACUUACCAGGUUCCGUUCGCUGAAGCCGCCGUCCGCUGGUACGACGCGUACCAGCGAUCAGACGUUUCAAUUCUCCCCGGACGCUGAUCCCAUAAACGAAUCCAUGACUGCCACGUAGUCGCGCACGAUAGAUUAACAGGACCCUCGAUCAAGGACACAUUAGCGAGGUUCAGCCAACCUAAACGCAAAGGAGAGUUCUCCAAAGCCUCUAAUGGCGGUUCGGAGCGCCUGAAGGCGAACAAGGAGUGCUCGCCCCCACCAUUUCUCGAGCUCGAGGCGGCGGACAGCUCGAUCGAUCUCUCGAUACUCGGGAAGACAAUUUCAAGGGGAAAGAAUGGCGGGCGAUUCCGAGAAGCGGCUCCAGAAGGUCUUGGACAGGCUCUACCAGUAUCCCAGGCCGAAGCCCUCUCCCUCCAGGUUCUCCUCCGAAACUAUAGAAAAUCUAGGGUUUUGAUCGUCUUUUUUCUUUGUUUUCUUGGAUCUUCAACGUAUUUUAGCCGAAUCGCUUUCAUUUUUGAUGUGGUAGUGGGAUCAGUUCGGUGGAUAGAGGGAAGAGGCUGGAUUCGGGGUCGAGAGCAGGCCUUGGCGAGCGGCUGAGGCUUCCGACCGUGGCUUCGAUGGGAGUACUUGGGCCAACUCCUCCGUGCCGGCCGUGGGAUCGAGGGGAUUUGAUGAGGAGGCUGGCUACGUUCAAGGCCAUGACCUGGUUCGGAAAACCGAAGGUUUGAAUCGUCUCCCUAUUGGCCCAAUACAAUAGAAGAAGUAGAAGAAGAAGAAAAAAGAUCGUCUUUUUUUUAUUAUAGUGGGUAAGUUUAGGCUUUUAGAUGCUAAAGGUUUGCUUUGCGAAUCAGGCAUCUGAGUGUUACGAUUGUUUGUUAAUCGGGUAGACUUAUAGAGCAAGAAUACAGAAUUAAUGAGGGUUUCUGGUGACAAAGAAAAUCAAGUAUUGCCAUUUGUGAAUUAAUUUCAUGAGAGAAAGGAAGAUAUUUUAGGUAUAAGGCGAACUGAUGGUGAUACAGUGGAAUAGACAUGUUUAAGAAUCGCGAGCGUAGAAUUAGCAUUUUUGAUUUCUGAGGUUACCUUUUUUUUGGUCCCCAGCGAAUGUGAUGAUUUUACAAACAAGAGCUGGUUACCUUUUUUUUGGUCCCCAGCGAAUGUGAUGAUUUUACAAACAAGAGUUGUAUUGCAAUUCAAAUAUUCCGUGUGUAUUUAUUUAUUGAAGUUCAGCCUGAACUCUUCUUGAAUUUGUAAAAUAAUAUCAUGCUGGUAUGAUGAUUUAAAGUUUUGGGACAUGGCAACAAUUAAAUCUAUAGUUUUUCCAGGUAUUUAGGCAUUGUAUUCUUGAAUUGAGAGUACUAUAGAAGUGUAGAAUUCUAGCAUUGACUUUUGCAGGAUAUUUUUCAUCUUUUAUGCACAUAUAUGAAAAAGUAAUCUUUACAUGCUCGUUGAUUGUUUUGUGAGGGGAUGUUAUUAUUAUUAUUUUACAUUGUACCCAGGUGAUCAGUCCUGUCAAUUGUGCAAGGAGGGGUUGGAUUAAUGUAGAGAUGGAUGUUAUAGCAUGUGAAGCAUGUGGAACACGACUUCUUUUUUCUACUCCAUCUUCUUGGACAAUGCAACAAGGUCUGUUGUGCAUUCUAUAUUAUCUUUACCUUAAGAACAAGCAUGGAAGUUCUAAUCAUUGCCUGCUUGCAAGGAUUAUGCUAACGAGCCCCGUAGUUACAAGAAAUUCCAUGUUUUUCUGGCCAACUUUAAAUUAGCCAGUUGUCACAUGGACGAGCCAUAGCUGAAAUUUAUUGUAAUUAAAUGUGACCAAGUCUUUUCUUCAAGUUUCACUAAUAGCCAAUGGCUUAUCUCAAGAAUUAUACAGUACAAUAUUUUUAUAAUCUUGUUAGUUGGAUGUCUAUUAUUCGUUCUAUUGGUUAUUAUCGGUAUAAAGAUAUUGGAUGCUAUAGAUGCUUCGAGUUGAUUUUUGACUUGUGGAUUUCGAUAUAAUUCUGAUCCUAUUGUAAACAUGUUGUAUUUCUUUACCUAUACUACUCUUAUUCUAAAACCAUAUAUCCCUUAUUGCAGUUGAAAAGGCUGCGGCUGUAUUAAGCUUAAAGCUCGACAAUGGACACAAACUGCUAUGUCCAUGGAUUGACAAUGCAUGUGAUGAAACAUUGGCACUGUUUCCUCCAACACCUCCUUCAGCGCUUGUUGGGAGUUACAAUGAACGUUCUUCUACACUCCUACAUCUCUCAGCCCUUCCUAUAAUUUCUUCCUCUGCCAUUGAUUACAUGAAGAUGAAGAGCCCUCAGCUAGAAGAAUUCUUGACAGAGCCUUCUCAUGCAUCAAUCGUCCUAAAAAAUGGCAUUAGGCUUACAGUUGGUCCUGAAAGCAAAGAUUGGGAGAGUGCGUUGGAUGCUGGUAAUUCUGAUCUAUAUUAUGAGGUAUAACAUGCUUAUGCUACUAAGUUACUAACAUUAUAAUAAUUGGUUGCUUGACAUUAUCCUUGAAGACACUCAUGCUGGUUGAGGAAAUAAACUGCAAGUUGUGCAUGCUUCAAAAAGAUCAUUGCAACUAAAUGCAACUUCCCCUCACCACCCUACAGCCCAAAUUCAAUUAACUGGCUGUGUAUGAUAAAGAUCAUGAUGUUGCCUUGAAAUGGUGAAAACCACUUGACAACAAAGUAAUUUCCUGUCUUUUUCUUUUUCUGAACCCUAUUUAUUUUUAAACUAGAAAUUUCUUCUUUGUUAGCCAGAGACAUCUUAUGCUACUUAGGUGGAAUGUUUUUGGGUGGUGUUCUGUAAAGAGUGGUAGGCAAUCUGUAGAGGAACAGAAGAGUUUUGAUUGGGGGCAUAGGGCUCAGGAGGGAAAUAAAAUUUAUUAAAGAUUUGAGAUCUUUGUUAUCUAGGAAUUUAAUUGUUCCAAAUUGUAUCGGAUAAAUCUGAUGUUUGUUGUUAUAUUCAGAGAUUUUGACUAAGCUAGGUUCAAACUACUAGUUCGGUGCACUAGGCCACUAGCCUGAUUGGAUGUUAUUUGGUUGCUGGGGAACUUCAUCGUUGUGUAUUUUACAAACCAAUGAUCCACUCAGAAAAUGGCAAUUUCCUCACAUCAAGAUUUUUCUCUUUGAAUUGAUCAGGGUGUGAUUCCCUUACUUCUUUGAAGGAAAAUAUUAUAGUUAAUUCUUUAACUUUUGUGCAUAAAAUUUUUGUUUAUAUAAAAACAAAAAUGUUAUUUUGAAAACCUUUUCAUGUGAAACAUUGUAAUUCAAUCAGGAUUCAUCUCUUAUUGCAUAUACAGAUAUGGGAGGAUAUGAAAUUUGGAGUAAUUCUAGGUAUAUCUGAUGCUGUCUUUAUGGUAAAUCCAGAACUAUUUUAGGUACAAUACAAAAUACCACCACAUAAAUAUCAGUUCCAAGUUCCAACUGAAUUAUUGAUUAAACAUCAGAGCAUAACUCUGGUACUACUGUUGCUCCUAUACCAAGUUUAACAAUAUAACCAUCUCCUGCACACCGCUUUUAGAUUACACUUGCCCAUGAAGUAUCAAGAAACAUACUUCAUAUUUCCACUAUCAUUAGCCACUUGAUUGUAUGUUUAUUUCCUAAUUUCUGAUUUUAGAAAUUGAAAUAGUAAUUGAGACCUAAAAGAUGUUUUGUUAAGCCUUUUUUUAAAAUCUAAUAAAAAGAAAAUUCUUUAGAAGGAGAAUUUUUGGUUCCUAAUAAUUUUGUUUUAUAUUUUUUUCCUAUGAAGCUUCCACAACCACCAAAUCUGUUUUUGUUAAUUUAUGUUUCUGAACUUACGAAACAGUUAGUACCAAAUCGUUCCCUGUUUUCAAAAAUGGUGAACGAGGUUUGUAACCUGUUUUAAUAAAAUUAGAAAGCUGACAGUGUUGCAAAAUGGGCGCUAGAGUGCUUCACCAACCACAUGCCUGUCCUCUAACUGUAAUAUUUUAGUGAUUGUCUACUAUUGCUCUGUUGCACAACAAGUGUUGCAAGCCAUAUACCAAAGUUGAGAUUGUUGUACUCCACUCCUGCAUCACGUAUAGCAUUGUAUUAUCCUCUUCAUUAGCAUUUCAUAAUGUGUUUCUCUUAAUACACUCUUUGGUAUAGUUUAUUUAUCCUUUUGGUUGUGAAGAGUCUAUGUCUAGUAUCCAGAAGGAGAUGGAUGCAAGAGUACUUACCAUCCUUCAUUGAAUUCUUCGAAAAUCUCUUUCUAUUUAACUGCAAGAACAUCUUUGGAUUCGAAUAUGCAUCUGUUUACUAUCUACCAUCUUUUAAAAGAAAGUUGCAGUACUUAAUAUUUGGAUGAUUGGGUGCAUGUGAUAGGAAGAAACACAAAUUUAGAACUUGAUUCAGCCAAUUGAUUGUGGUGAUCAGCCAAACUUCUGGUUAUCUCUUUGGCGCCAGCAAGUAUAUACGAAUCACUGAUUUUAUUGGAGUUUUAUAGUUUCUUGGACUCGCAUCAAUCUGUACCUAGUAAUUUGAUCUUGAAAAUCCCCUCUUGAUAUUGCCAAUGCAGACUGCAUCCACCAUUAUUACUUAAGCAUUGUCAACCAUAUCAUUUCUAAACUUUAUAUUAUGCUAUCACUACUGGUUUAAGAUGGCAUUUUAUUUCUUGGAACUGAAUGGUGAUGUUUUCUCGAAGUUUUUAAAUGUACAUCUGAGCAUAUUAUGUGGAAAAAUUGCCAUAAACUGCAACUGCUUGAGUUGAAAAAUUAUUGGUUAAAGUCUGAAGGUUUAUCUUCUUUCUUUAGAAUUUCAAGAGACUUGCAUAUGAGCAUCUCCUUCUCCUUGUCUAAUAAUAUACGAGCUUCAUGGCAAAUCUGUGGAGUGUGCUCCAAAUUUAAAUGACAUAGGAAGUUGUGGAUUACUUGUGCUACCACUACCACAGAGAUCCCAUCAAAGUAGCAUCUGGUUCAUGUUUUCUGUUUCCUCCUUGUUUAAUUUCUUUCAUCUACUUAUUGUGAUCUUUGAACCUUUCGAUUGUCUGCAAUCUGCAUAAAUCUAGUAUAACUACUUUGUAUGUUCUCACACUUUAGAUCGCUCAUGAAUUGCAAAAGUUUGUGUAUGGUGAAAUAGAACCUUCACUUUACAUAUGUUACAUGUCAACACAACCAAUUACAAGUGGACGUACUGUGAGGCUUUAUGAGCUCAAGGUAUCAAUUGUGUUCAUGCAUGUGUGUAACCAAAGUAAGAUGCUAAAUCUGUUCAGCAUUUCUAAAUUGAUAGACUUGGAGAUUUGAAACAGAUAAUCCUUUUACAGGUCCAAGCUUGCUACUCAUUCUACAAAAUACAAAUAUCCUAGUCCUUCAAAAUUAUGUAAGAAACAAAAUCAACAUAUUGACACACCUCAAGGUUGCUGCUGAUGAUUCUGAAGGAAUGAAGCUUUCUUAAGGUUGACUAAAUUAAUUAGAAUAAAUUCUGAUAUUGGUUAUUCCUAUAACCAUGCUUCUAACACUCAUUGCAUUUUUUGUCAUUAGUGCUGAGCAAGCCUCUCCAUACUCUUGUACUGAAUUCAGGAAAACAUUUGACAAAUGUUUUUUUACCAAAUAAAGAAUGCUUGUUUGUUUGCUGUCGACUUCUUUAAUAGCUCUGUCUAGAUCAUUGAGAUCAUAUAUCCUCAAGAGUGAAGAAUUGAGCAUAAUAUUCUUUGCUAUUCUAAUAUUAGAUUUUUCAGGGUGUGCUCUACAAACCUUUUUCAGGAUGUACUUCAUGAUAACCAGAUUUUUAUGUUUCAGUUCCAUGCUGUACCAGUUCCCCUGCACAGCUACAGCAUGUUUGGCAUGAAGGGAAUUAUAGGCAAUUCAUUGUUAAUAAUAUUGUGAUUAACAUGAAGUUGUAUUAGGAUUCUGUCUAAUGGAAUGCUUAUAUGGCAGGACCAUGGAUGCUUACUGUUUCUCAUUAACCAAAACAUUAGGUGAGAGCGAUUCCUAAAGGCUAGAUAACUACAAUUUGCAUGGGUUGUCAUUCUUCCUUAUGGAGUGCAGGUUUAGUUUACUUAUAUAUACUCAUGUUGUUAUUCUUCUAACAAUUAAUGACUGGAAAUAUGCUUUUCAAGUGUUUUCUGGAUUUCUCAAUAGUAAUUGUGUUAUGCCAUGUCAUGAUAUAGUUUUACAUAACCUUUGGAAACACAUGUUGCUCGUUCUUUAGUUUUUAAUACUUCCAAAGGUAACAGUUGGUCUAUAAAUUGUAGGCACUGAAAAUUGUAAGUUUAUGUGGAUGGGAACCUCGACUGCUUCCUUAUGCUGUUGAAAGUGAGGACAGAUCUAGUUCGUUUGGCAAAGGUGCCUCUACAUCUGAAACAUCAGAACAUAUACUUCGUGAACAAAAAGAAGGCAUCAAAAUUCGCUCGUCAAAUGGGCAGGGUGAAGCUGAGAGGGGAGAACAUAUCAACCCUACUUUUGGUGAUUACCAAUAUGAUCCCGCAUCUGUUGUCUUAGACUGCGGAUUUUGUGGAGCACGUGUGGCAUUAUGGGCUUUAACAAUGACACAGCGCCCUUUGGAAAUUUUUAGUGUGGUUGCAGAUUCAUGCAGCCAAAAUGAGCCAGCCACUAUUGAUGCAGACCUAGUCAGCAGAAUACAAGCUCCAAGGACGGAAAAUUUGGGCUUGGGAAUUUACAAUUCAAACAAAGGAGUCAGUGAUACUGGUUAUAGUAUUUCAUCAGCCAAAGAAAGACAUCUGGGCUUAAAUUUUUCGAUUGCAGGUGGUCCUCCACCAACUAGACAAAACUAUAGACCAAGAGUUUCUUUCCCCAUUGUUAGCCGGCAUUUAAGAGCUGAACUCAGUGUUAGCAAAAAUCAUGCAUCAUUUAAAGAUUCAAGCGGGAGUCAAACACAUACUCAGCAUUCCUCACAACAUGAUGAUCUAUUGCAGCAUCAAAAAGAUACUGAUGGCGGUCUUGUUAUUCCAGAAGGUGCAAGUUCACUAAAGCGUAAAAGAAGUGAAAAUGAACUCAGCAGUGAUGUCAAUUUUCAGUCCCAUCCUAAAGGGGAGAUACAGGGGGGUGGCAAUACCUCCUUUGAAGGUCACCACAGUGAGCAAGGAGCUUGCUCAUUGCAUAAAAAUAGCAACAUUGAAAAUCUGCAAGAUGCCAUUCAACAUGCGCCAGAAGUUCUGCAACGAACCGAUAUUGAUUAUAAAGAUAAAGGAGAGGUGCCUCCUGAAAAAAACGAAGCUGAUAGUAGUGUUAAAGUUGGAGAAGGCAUAUUUACGACACAAAAGGAUGCCGAACCCUGUGGGAACAACUUAAUGAUGGAAUCAGAAGAUGUCUGUAACCAAAAUCGCAAUGGUGUUUCAAUAUUAGAUUCAGUAUGUUAUGGAGAAGCUUCUGAAACCAAUCAUGAUGAUUCUUCUAAUAUUGCAUCUUGUUCAUCUACUAAGGCAGCUCUGUCAAGUCACCAUAAUAUAAAUUCAGGAAAAGGUGGCAAGGAUUCUGAUCUCCAAAGCAUUAAGGAUGCAAAGGCAAUAAAUCAAAAGGCCAAUGGAUUGAUGAAUAUCAGCAGUAAAGCAGAUGCAAACCAUGCACCAGGUAAGGAUUCUUUUACUCCGUUUUUUUCCUUUUUUCAAAUUCAAGGUCAUGUUUCAUUUUAGUUCCAAGCUUCUAAUAAGGAGAUUCAUUCAAAUUAGUCGUUUCCAUCAGCCGUGUCUGCAUUUCUUUUCAAUUAUCCAACAGGACCGAUUCUUUGUGGUACAUGAGCUACAACUUUGCAAGUUAUCAACUCUACUCUUCUUUUCAAUUAUCAACUCUACAACUUUGCAAAUUAUCAACUCUUCAUUUCUUUUCAAUUAUCCAACAGGACCGAUUCUUUGUGGCACAUGAGCUACAACUUUGCAAAUUAUCAACUCUAUUCUUCUCACCAUCAUUUAGGUUCUUUUGUGUCACACAAUACCCAACAGCAUUUUCUUGGCUGCCACUACAGGACCAUUUAAUGAUACCCUCCUUGUUGCUCUAAGUAGGCCCUUUCAUAUGUCAUCUGAUUGAGACAAAAAGAAUUAAGUUCAUAUUGCUUGUGAUUGUAUUCUUUUACAUUGGAUAACUAAUAAACAUUUUUUUUUCUUUUGAUGCACUGAGUUAUUGUACUUAGUGCACUAACCACAUGCACAUUGCACCAAAAUAUUUAAAAAACUAAAGAAGUUCAUGCAGCAAGUUUUUGUCAGUUCAUGCAUUUCUUUUAGUUCGUGUCAAACUUGAGUGAGGAUGAAUUAUAUAUUAUGUGAAGUAAUUUUCUAGAGUUGUGCUGUACUUGCAUGCUAAUUAAACAAAUGGUGAGAGUUGAUAUAAAUCCAUGCCAGCUGCAGCUUUUUAGUUUUCAUGGCUGGUUGGUCUUUUGCCCAUAAUUUUCUUACCUUGGAAUUUGUCACCUAUUAGUAGUGUUCUGAUAUGCUAGUCUGAGAGCUCAAUGCAAAACAUUCUAAAGCAUUGAAUAGAUCAUAACAUGAUCCAUUAAUUCCAAGCCAUAUAGAGGAAUAUAAAGCUUAUUUAACCUUAAGGGUCAAGUUAUGAUUUUACAACUUGUCUUUGCGAUUGUUUAAUAGAUUUUUUAUUCUUCUAUUGCCUCAAUCUCUUACUUAUCUUUAAAAAAAUAACAAAAAUAAAAACCAAAUGAUUCAAUUAUGCUUUGUAAACCGAUUUUGGUUUACAUGAUUGAUGUAUUCAUAUUUCUGAUGGGUUUUGAAGAAGUCCUUGUUUUCAUUUUUCAUCCAUUUGCUUUAGAGUAAUAAAAAUAUAUUUCGGAGGUGCUUCUGUUAGGUGAUUUUUCACUUUAUGGUGGGUUUAAAAUUCAUCAAGCUGAAUUGCAGCUUAUGAUUUAAAUGACUCUUGAAAUAAAUUUCAAUAAAAUAUUAACAAAAUUUGAAAAAAAAAGGGGAUGAACUCCUGAGCAAAUAAUCCUUGUGUCUUGGCCACCAAGCCAGCAUUGACACUUCAGGGAAUACAGUGUCCAUACUUGUGCAUAAUAUUUCACCAAACAUCUGUCAACAUGAAUAAUCAGCUUUUGUAAUUUCAGUGUCAUACUUAUGUUUUCUGUUCUAAUCGGGGUGAAAUCCUCUUCCACUUAAGCUUCAAAAUCUUUUCACCACAUUUUUGGAGAUACCAAGUAAGUCAUAAAUAACUAUCUAGGUCAUUGAUGUAAAUAAAAUUUUGUUUCUUUUUUCUUUUAAUAUUUCUGCUUUUUUAGCCCAGACAGCAUCCUGUGAUAGAGCUUCAAAUACUUCUCAACCAAUUCUGUAUUGGAGGUCUUUAGUUUCCCUUGUCAAAAAGCCAACCAUAAGCAUGACCAACAUGUCUUUCUACAUUGCACAUGAUUGGCUUUAUGGAUGCCUCAUAUAUCAUUCCUAUGGAGAGAUAUCUUUUGUCAACUAGAGUUACAAAUGGGUGGAUUGUGACCAUAGGAAAAAUUCUGAGGAUUCAAGGAAAUAUACCUCCUGUGCAUACCUCUUCUUGUUCUCUUACCUUGGACUCUCUCACCUUGGAGUCACUUAAAAAAAGAGGAGGAGAAGAAGAAGAAAUCCCAAGAAUUGCUAACUUCUCGAAUAACAUUAUAUAAAAUUGAUUUAUCCUUCAACAUAUGGUGUACAUUUGAUCAAUGAAAAUCCUAUGCAAGAAUUCUGCAAUCUUUAUGUGGAUUUCCAUGAUGAUGACAUGACAAAAUCUGGUAGUCAAGGAUAUAAUUCAAUGGAGGUCCUUGAGAUCUUGUGGAUAGUGAAUCUUCAUUGGUACUAUCAAAUCCAUAUGGUUUUCCUGUUGAUAUCUCUUCCAGAGAAUCUUAACAGGCUCGCUAUUUUUUAAGGAAUUCACACAUUGAGGGGAUUGCCACAUGCUAUUGCUAUUAUCUUUUGUGGUCGUUGAUCAAUGCAUGAAGAGGUUUUAUCAAUCUAUUAUUGUUUUUAAUUGUCUUCUUCUGAACACGACACGGAGAAUGUGUGUUAUUGGGGGGACAAGCUUCUGUGCUGCGAGAAUGUAGGAUGCAUAUUAGUGAGCAGUUCAUGAGCUAGAAGCAUGCAAAAGACAAGAAGCAAUGGCAAGAAUUGUCCUCCAAGAGCAGCAGUUGUUCAGAUGCUUCACCUGUUAAAAUACCUGGUAUGUCAGAAAUUAGAGCAGAGCCAUUGGAUAGCAUUUAAAUUAGCAUCCUGACGCAUUAAGAAUCACACAAAUCAGAGUGCAGAUGAAACUAUCAUGGCCUUCAGCCAGACAAGAUAUUUUGCAAUUUAAAGGAUUACAAAAGGUCACAAUUCAAUCACCUUUGCAAACCGUAGAAGCACCCAUUACGAAAGUAUAAUAUUUCUUUGUAUUCUGCAAAUCAUUUUUAAGCUACCACCAUCACUACUUUUUGGUGAUGUUCAACUGGUUUAAGUAGCAUAUGCUGGGAAUAGUUGGUGGUUUUUUAAGGUCUAAAAAUAACUAAAAUUAAUUUUUAAGACUAAUUUCUGGUUUAAGUUGGAAUUUGCUUGUAUUUUUAGGCAAUAGGUAUCUUUUGGGUCUUGAAGGUAGAGACUCUUGUUAUUGAGUCUUAUGAUAUAAAAGACAAUUGAGCUGUGGCAGAUUUUUUUGACACUAUGCACUGGAGUACCACAUCUUUCUACUCUCUAACCUUCAGCGUCUUUCCCUUUGAUUUUAUUUUUUCUUUAUAUCAUAAUUGGUACCAGGGCUUGUAGCACAUCACUUUGUGGUUUUGCGUUACAUCAAUUUUAUCAUUCUCAUCUCUAAAUAAUUACGAUGUAUAUAUUUCCUCCGGCUCUUAAAAAUUGGUCUUCCAGCAGGACUCUGGCGCCAUUAGUUUCUCCUAGCAUAAUCCCCAAGUAUUUGUUAAUAUUUUUUUUUCCAAUAUUCAUGUUCUUAAAUUCUAGUGCUCCCUUUCCUUGAGCAAACAUUUUUUUAUUGCCAUCGUGCAUUGUUAGAUUAAUCUUAGUCAUAUAUUGGUAGAUUAAUCUUAAUCUAGUUAUACCAUCCAUGAAUUUCAGUUACUUGAAUCUGGGUGUGAUGUGUUUUCCUGAUGCAAAGUUUCUUAUAUAAUUUUAAUGCCCGAUAUGUUAAUGUUAUUCAAACAUGACCUAGGCAUUUUUGUUCCAACAAAUUUUGGGCAUUGGUAUGGUAACUACAAUGCCCCCCUGCAGCUUGUUUUUAAUUCAUUUCAUUAAGUUGAGAACUCGAUAUUAGGAUGGUGAAUUCAACAAUACAAGAAUCCAUUGAUGAAAAAUAUCCUACCUCGUGCACACUAGCCUUGUACCACUAUCCUUGUACCAAUCUAAUCAGCAACUACUGCUGAUCUCUUUGUUUCUUCUCUAGCUGGCUUAUAGCGUUGGAGAUAUGAGUCUGUUGUACAUUUGUGAUACUUUGUAUCUCAUGAAAGAAAUGGAUGCUGACCUGUGCUUUUCCUUUUACCCUUUUUUUAAAUUAUCUGUUUGGUUAUUCAGAAAAAAAUCCAAAACUGGUGCACAGUAAAAUCAACGAGUUUGAUCCAAUCAAGCAGCACAGGCCCUUCUGCCCCUGGAUCACUCCUGAUGAGGGAGUAACCAUGCCUGGAUGGAAACUGACGCUUUCAGCUUUAGUUCAUCAAGUGAAAGAUAUUCCUAGCCACUUAAAUUUGGAGAACCCUUCAGCUUUGCUCGACGAGGUAAUCUCUCUCUCUCUCUCAAUUUUUUUUAGAUUGAAUUCUGUUUGCUUCCCCGUCUGUCAUCCAAAGCUGGUCUCUUGAUUGGCACUCUUAUGUGAUGCAGGAAGAUGAUCCCAUCGUUUCUGUCCGAAAGCUUUUUAUGUCCCCAUCACCCAAAAGAUUGAAGAGCAGUCAGUAAACGCUUCAAAGAUUUUGGCACUUUCUUUUGAACCAUAUGCAUGAAACAUGACCUACUAGCUUGGAGAUUGUGAUCAGCUACAGUUGCGUACCUGAAAUAUAUGCAGAGCUUGUUGUUCUUCCUAUUUACGCUUGAACAGGGAUUUAAAAUGUUCUUGAUGAUUGGAAUGGAUGUUCCAUAUAGGGAAAUAAACAUAUGCAGCACCACACUCAAACUUGUUCUGUUUGGUGCUUUUAUGAGAUUGGAGAAAGUAAUGCUUGGAGAUACGGAUUUUUCUAUGUAGCGAACAAAAACCACAGCACUACAUUCUGAUAUGACAAGCUGCAUGGCUUCAGCAGGUCAUAGAUGGUGGUAACCUUCAGGAAUGUGUUUUAAAGCCUUUUUAACUUCUAUAUUCUGUUACAAGAAGAAGAAGAAUAAGAAGGCCUCGAGAGGCUGGGUACGGAAUGAGAAUCUUGAAGAA
rnacentral:lncRNA from 1 species